rnacentral:lncRNA from 1 species
UUCUAUUAAAAAAAGAUUUACAAAACAGUACUAGUGUAUCACUUAUUAUUUAUUAACAAGUAGCAAUGAAAUGUCAUUUGUUUAAUCUUAUGUCGUAACUUGUUAUUUCUUAGUCGAUGAAUAUUACGAAAACCAAAUUUAUUUUUUUAUAAAGAAACUUUUACUUAUCUCUAUUAUCUUUAAAUUAAAUUAUUUUUAAACUCAUGAUAAAAUUCUUUUCGAAAUCCUAAACCUUCACUAGACUCUAAUUUUAUCAAUUUGAAUAAUUUUAAGUUCAUAAUAUAUCUCUCUUGAGAUUCUAUAGAUUAUUUAAAAAAAAUACCAUGGUCAAAUAAGAAAUUUAUUUUACUAAAAUAUGAGCCGUCUAAUUUUACAAAACAGUACUAACGUGUGUCAUGUGUCACUUAUUAACAAUUGUAACAAAAUUAACAUAUUAUUGUUGGAUUUUAAAUAACACUUUUUUUUUAAUUUCUUCCCAAUAUGAUUAUGCGAGCUAGAUUUGAACUCCAAACUUUUAAUACCACUCAAAAUAAUUUAUUAAUACAAAUUAUGUACAUUAACUAUAUAAAAGUAUACAAAAUUUAAUUAGUAAUUUAGAUGAUAUUAUUAAAUUCAAAUCUUAACUUCUGGAUUUCUCGUUCUUAUCUAAAACAUCUAAAGCAUUAAAAAAGAGGCAUGUGGGUGAAACAAACUAUGAGUUGGAAAGUGUGUAAAUGGAAAAUCUAUAUUGACUGCUGUAGACCCAAGUCGUUCACUGGACCGACAGUAAAGCGAGUGAAGCACGGUGAGUGGGUCCAUCAGAUGAUAAAGGACUACGAUUCAUCGCAACUAUGCCACGUGCAAUCAAGCUUGAUUUGAUGUAGAGCUUUGGCCGGGCCCCACAGUGUAGAAAAAAUUGGAAAGAACAAAACACCCGACCGAUAGUGAUGCCACGCAUGCAAUUAUCAUCGAAAUUCUAACCUACAAUCUCUAUUUCUUCUAGGCUUGCGUGGGCGCUGGACUGCUGCUUCUUUCUUUUAAUGGCUUUUUUUUUUCUUUAU